GUUGACCUCGGAUCAGGUAGGGUUACCCGCUGAACU
rnacentral:rRNA from 1 species